rnacentral:misc_RNA from 1 species
GAUGAAGAACGUAGCGAAAUGCGAUAAGUAGUGUGAAUUGCAGAAUUCAGUGAAUCAUCGAAUCUUUGAACGCACAUUGCGCCCCUUGGUAUUCCAUGGGGCAUGCCUGUUCGAGCGUCAUUUGUACCUUCAAGCUCUGCUUGGUGUUGGGUGUUUGUCUCGCCUCUGCGUGUAGACUCGCCUCAAAACAAUUGGCAGCCGGCGUAUUGAUUUCGGAGCGCAGUACAUCUCGCGCUUUGCACUCAUAACAACGACGUCCAAAAGUACAUUUUUACACUCUUGACCUCGGAUCAGGUAGGGAUACCCGCUGAACUUAAGCAUAUCAAUAAGCGGAGGA